UACGGAGGUGGCAAGCGUUGUUCGGAAUUACUGGGCGUAAAGGGCUCGUAGGCGGCCAACUAAGUCGGAUGUGAAAUCCCCAGGCUUAACCUGGGAACUGCAUCCGAUACUGGAUGGCUUGAAUCCGGGAGAGGGAUGCAGAAUUCCAGGUGUAGCGGUGAAAUGCGUAGAUAUCUGGAGGAAUACCGGUGGCGAAGGCGGCAUCCUGGACCGGCAUUGACGCUGAUGAGCGAAAGCUAGGGGAGCAAACGGG
rnacentral:rRNA from 1 species